rnacentral:tRNA from 2 species
GUGCCCAUAGUUCAAUUGGAUAGAGCGUCUGAUUUCGAAUCAGGAUGUUGCGGGUUCGAGUCCUGCUGGGCGCGCCA